UACGGAGGGAGCUAGCGUUGUUCGGAAUCACUGGGCGUAAAGCGCACGUAGGCGGAUCUUUAAGUCAGGGGUGAAAUCCCAAGGCUCAACCUUGGAACUGCCUUUGAUACUGGGGAUCUCGAGUCCGGAAGAGGUUGGUGGAACUGCGAGUGUAGAGGUGAAAUUCGUAGAUAUUCGCAAGAACACCAGUGGCGAAGGCGGCCAACUGGUCCGGUACUGACGCUGAGGUGCGAAAGCGUGGGGAGCAAACAGG
rnacentral:rRNA from 1 species